rnacentral:rRNA from 1 species
UACAGAGGUCUCAAGCGUUGUUCGGGAUUCAUUGGGCGUAAAGGGUGCGUAGGCGGCGCGGUAAGUCGGGUGUGAAAGCCCCCGGGCUCAACCUGGGAAUUGCAUUUGAGACUGCAUAGCUAGGGUGCGGAAGAGGGAAGCGGAAUUUCCGGUGUAGCGGUGAAAUGCGUAGAUAUCGGAAGGAACACCAGUGGCGAAAAGCGGCU